rnacentral:rRNA from 1 species
GUGAGGAAUAUUGGUCAAUGGGCGGGAGCCUGAACCAGCCAAGUCGCGUGAAGGAAGAAGGAUCUAUGGUUCGUAAACUUCUUUUGCAGGGGAAUAAAGUGCAGGACGUGUCCUGUUUUGUAUGUACCCUGAGAAUAAGGAUCGGCUAACUCCGUGCCAGCAGCCGCGGUAAUACGGAGGAUCCGAGCGUUAUCCGGAUUUAUUGGGUUUAAAGGGUGCGUAGGUGGUUUGAUAAGUCAGCGGUGAAAGUUUGCAGCUUAACUGUAAAAAUGCCGUUGAAACUGUCGGACUUGAGUGUAAAUGAGGUAGGCGGUAUGCGUGGUGUAGCGGUGAAAUGCAUAGAUAUCACGCAGAACUCCGAUUGCGAAGGCAGCUUACUAAGCUACAACUGACACUGAAGCACGAAAGCGUGGGGAUCAAACAGGAUUAGAAACCCUGGUAGUCC